UAGGGAAUAUUGGACAAUGGGUGAGAGCCUGAUCCAGCCAUGCCGCGUGCAGGAAGAAGGCGUUAUGCGUUGUAAACUGCUUUUGCCAGGGGAUAAAAUGACCGUGCGCGGUUAAUUGAAGGUACCUGGUGAAUAAGCCACGGCUAACUACGUGCCAGCAGCCGCGGUAAUACGUAGGUGGCAAGCGUUGUCCGGAUUUAUUGGGUUUAAAGGGUGCGUAGGUGGCCCUGUAAGUCAGUGGUGAAAUAUCUCAGCUUAACUGAGAGGGUGCCAUUGAUACUGCAGGGCUUGAGUACAGAUGAGGUAGGCGGAAUUGACGGUGUAGCGGUGAAAUGCAUAGAUAUCGUCAAGAACACCGAUAGCGAAGGCAGCUUACCAAGCUGUAACUGACACUGAGGCACGAAAGUGUGGGGAUCAAACAGGAUUAGAUACCCACGUAGUCCCUGAGCGGGCUGGCAAGGCGCAU
rnacentral:rRNA from 1 species